rnacentral:rRNA from 1 species
AGCGAACGCUGGCGGCAGGCUUAACACAUGCAAGUCGAACGGAUCCUUCGGGAUUAGUGGCGGACGGGUGAGUAACACGUGGGAAUGUGCCUUUAGGUACGGAACAACUCAGGGAAACUUGAGCUAAUAACGUAUGUGCACAUAGGGGGAAAGAUUUAUCGCCUUUAGAGCAGCCCGCGUCUGAUUAGCUAGUUGGUAGGGUAAAGGCCUACCAAGGCGACGAUCAGUAGCUGGUCUGAGAGGAUGAUCAGCCACAUUGGGACUGAGACACGGCCCAAACUCCGACGGGAGGCAGCGGUGGGUAAUCUUGCGCAAUGGGCGAAAGCCUGACGCAGCCAUGCCGCGUGAAUGAUGAAGGUCUUAGGAUUGUAAAAUUCUUUCAGUGGGGACGAUAAUGACGGUACCCACAGAAGAAGCCCCGGCUAACUUCGUGCCAGCAGCCGCGGUAA